GUGACAUGGGAUGGAGCACCUUCAGAGAAAGACUGACAAAAGCCACACUUAGGUACAAGAUUAGGCUUGAGAGAAUGGAUGAUGCAAGAAUAGCAAGGAAGGUGUAUCUGUGGAAUGAAAGUGGAAGCAAAUGGAGGAAGAGAUGCAUGAGAAUGACAGACAGGAAUGGAUUGCAAGUUGUGUGGGCGAUAAGAAUGGCUGGUAGGAAUCAAAAUGAGCGUGAAUGGGUGGUAACAAGAGGAGACAGAGUGGGAGCGGAAUGGGAUGUGAGAAAAUGGAAGAAUGAGAUAGACAAAGAAGUGAAAUGUGUGGGACUGAAUGAAUGGAAGAAUGAGAUGGAAAGAAAGAAGACCCUGGAAUGGUACAAGGAGAAAGAGGCCCCGAGGUAUGAAAGGUGGUAUGAUGGAAGCCUGGGCGGUGAUCUUCUCUUCUGAGCGAGGGCACAGUGUAUGGAUGUGAAUGCAAGGAGUUACAGGUGGUCUGAGUCCCGCAGCAAAGUGUGCCAGAUGUGUGACAUGGGAGAGGAUGAGACGGUGGAACAUGUGGUGCUGGAGUGUGUGAAGUAUGCCAGAGACAGGAAUGAGAUGAUGCAAGUGAUACUGACUAAGUUAGGGCAUGAUAGGAAUGAAAGAGUGGAGAAGACGGGAAAAGAGUGGAUGGUGUUGUUGCUGGGACUGUGUAGAGAGGCGAAUGAAAGGAUGAUUGAGGCGGUGAAAGAGUUUCUGGAGAGAAUGUGGCGUGCCAGGUGUAUGAACAAUUAGGAUAGAGGAUGCUGUUGUAGUGCUGAGAAAUUAAUUAUGUAUAUUUCUACUUUUUUUUUCCUAGGCUAGGGCCCAUGUAGUGUGCGGGGGUGACCAGAAUCUCAGUACCAUGUGACUAACCCCUCCCCUUCCCCUCCUCUCCUCAGUGUCCUUUUGUCCUUGCUUUCCCCCCCCCCCCUCUCAGCGUCACUGUGUUGACCACUUCUAUAACAAAUUUACCCCGUGAAUAAACGUAAUUUCUCCUGCUUGGCCAGGUUAUAGAGGCGAAUUUUUCACCUAAUCCCAGAGAAUGGGGAGCCCUUAAUAUGAUAAAAUUAAUUCUAUAAUGGUAAGGUCUUAAACCAGCCCAAACAAAUCCCAGAUAAUUACGCCGCGCCAAUGAGGUUGACGAAUCUGAUAAGUCUUCUUUGCUUCGCUGCCUUGUUACCCCUGUUGCUCCACAAGCCAGGAAGAGAUAUCAGACUUUGACUAAUUCCCCAAUUGAUUUCAAAAGUCCAUUGAAUUAAACUUCUUAAAGUAACAACUAUAAAGUAAACAGUAACUUAAUUAUUCAUAUUUUUCAUCCCUGAACUCACAACCUAGUCGCUCCCCCCCUACUAAAAACAAAAUUAUAACUUAAUAAAUUUCCCCAUUGGAAACCUUUAUCCUUAGUUUCCCGCCGAUUCCCUCACAAGCAAAGCCAGUCUCUCUCGGAUUCUCCUCAGUCUCUCUCGGAUUCUCCUCAGACCCUCUUGGAUUCCCCUCAGAUAUUCCUGUUGAUAAACUAUUUCUGAGUGGAUAGAUAUUCGCAUUUUUUCGUUCUGUUUUUGUUGGUUUUCUCCACGGGACUAGUGAAACCACCUGGUUCGAGAUCACCGUGUGAGACUGUCCUCAGGUCUAUACAUACUUUUUGGGUAUAUAUUUGUUAUUUAUUUAUUUAUUCUCUGGUCUCCCCCACAAUUCAGUAGUCGCGAAAAUAUCUCCAUCGUAGUUUUUAUGUAAUUGAAGAAUACGCUACCAUUUAUUUUGUAUUUCUGAAUUCCUUUCUUUUUAUUAUUAUUAUUCGGUUUAUUCCAUUAUCAAUUAAAAAUCUAUAAAAGUGUCAA